AUGGGAUUUCCAAAAAGAAGAUAUUUUGAAGAUUCGCCACCAGCAGGAUCCUACAGUUUGCUAAGCAACAGCUUCUCCUGGCAUAAGCCACUACUCAGACAAACGGAGACCAUGCAUUGCGCCCGGCACCUGCGGUGAGGAGUCCACGGCAAGCUUGGCCCAACAGAGUUAAGAGGAAGAUUUAUGAGACAUGGAACCUUCCAUCAGGUUUGGAAGACAGUAAAGGGAAUGCAGAGAUGUCAGACCACCACUAAGACCCAUGAACAAUCCUGCUCUCACGCUUCUCUGUCGAACUUUAAGACUUAUUAGUAAUAUGCGGCCUUUGCAAGAUGAAAACAAACUAAUGCCAAGAAGGCAUAUUCUUCCAUAUUUGAA
rnacentral:lncRNA from 1 species